AGCCGCUCAGAACUUAAGGAAUUGACGGGGCCGCACAAGCGGUGGAGUAUGUGGUUUAAUUCGAUGCAACGCGAAGAACCUUACCUGGUCUUGACAUCCCGGAGACCCUUAGGAAACUAGGGGGUGCUUCCAUCUGGAAGAAUCUGGAGACAGGUGCUGCAUGGCUGUCGUCAGCUCGUGUCGUGAGAUGUUGGGUUAAGUCCCGCAACGAGCGCAACCCUUGCCUUUAGUUGCCAGCAGUUCGGCUGGGCACUCUAAAGGGACUGCCGGUGUUAAACCGGAGGAAGGUGGGGAUGACGUCAAGUCCUCAUGGCCUUUAUGACCAGGGCUACACACGUACUACAAUGGCCGAUACAAAGGGCAGCGACACUGCGAGGUGAAGCCAAUCCCGUAAAAUCGGUCUCAGUCCGGAUUGGAGUCUGCAACUCGACUCCAUGAAGUUGGAAUCGCUAGUAAUCGUGGAUCAGCAUGCCACGGUGAAUACGUUCCCGGGCCUU
rnacentral:rRNA from 1 species